rnacentral:snRNA from 1 species
UCUUAUGCGAUUAGAACGAUACAAUUGGAACGAUACAGAGAAGAUUAGCAUGGCCCCUGUUAUAAUGUAAUAUCUAUCAAUACAUAAUUACAUACUUUUU